rnacentral:lncRNA from 1 species
AUAUUUCACCUCCACCCGGAAGGCUAGAGCCAUCCUCUCGGCCUCUAAGUGCACAACGGAACUAGAAAUCAAGGAAGAGAGACCAAAAGGCGUUAGAAAAAUGCAGCAUUGAGAGGCAGCGCGGAGGUCAACUGGACCAUCCCCCUUAGGUUGUGGGGAAGAAAACUGAGACCUAAAAAGGUGAAGCGGUCGUCCCAAAGGCUUCCAGCUGCUCCCAGUACUCAAGGACUUGGAGCACACUUGGGGAAAUGCUCACUGUUGUAUUCCCAUUCCUCACUAUCCGGGAGGCCUGAACUCUCAAACUCCGAAUCUGAUUUCCACUCUCCCAGGAAGGCUUCGGAAAUCACUGUGGAUCGUCAAUACAGGAGUCCAUACUGA